UCCCACCUCCACCUCUGUAGCAGCAGGGGGGUCCCGGUCUCCUCUGGCUGGGAGGUCAGCCCUCAGCUAAGCGGGUUAAGUCACAAUUUCGCUCCAUGACGCUUUAGUCUUGGGUGUUUGUCAUUCCUCGUGAAAUGAAGGCUUAAGAAACAGUUGUCUGUGGUUCUGACAGUUUGGUGGCUGACAUAUGUGCCCAUCGGAGACCAGCAUGGACAGAGUUCCAUGGAUAUAGGAAGCUGCAGGGCUACAAUUAUAGGGAAGCUUACUAGGCAAUUUGUUUACAGCCCUUAACAAAGAAUCACUUCAACAUCUGACAGAAGACAAGCUCUGCUGGGGAAGACUGAUCUCUGAGCUCCGCAGGUGUUUAGGAUUAAGGAGACUUACUGUGGAAAUCGUGGAUUAGUAGCGUAUGUGUCCAUCCUUGGAAGCAACGCAAGCUGUCAGCUGUGAUCUGUGAUGGAUCUCCUUCUGGUUGAAAAUGCUGCCUCGGAGGGAUUCUGGAUUCUGCUUGCUGGGCCUGGUCAAGCACGUACCUGUCCACUGGUUCCUGCCACAGGCCUCCUCAGCACAGCUGUCACACUCUCACCUCAAACUUCAAUCCAGUUGAACACUUGUGGUUCAAACUCAAGAAGGCAGUUCACCAAUGGAAACUGAAGGGGUCUGAAGGAUGCAGAGCAAAUCUGGCUGGAGGAAUGGUCGCAGACCGCAGCAGGAGACGGCCAGAGUCUCUCAGCACACGCUGGAGGCACCUUGUCAGUGAGAUCCUGGUCACAGCAGGAUUGGCAAAAUACUAACGGCAGGGCUGCAAAUAAAUGUGAACCUUGUGCUUCCUGGACUACAUCAAUUAUUUAUGAUACAUAUAACUUUGCUCUCUGCAAUGCAAUACACUGUAGCAUAUUUAGAAUUUAAGCAAAGAUCUGUAAAUCUUUCAGUUAAAUGAUGGAUUUUGUUCCUGUUUCAUCAGGGGUAUGAAUGAAUCUGAAGGGCGAUAUCUGUACACCUUGAUGUUGCCUCGUUAGCGAUUACAUUAUCAUGAGUGAGACAUAGAAUUGUACAGUUUUGCCCACAGCUGUGUUUAUUCUGUUGCUUUUCACAUUUUCAUUUCUUUCUAAUCUAGAGAAAUCGCUACAUUUAUUUCCAUUUUAUGCCUAAUGGGUGAUGACAAAACCAUAGAAAACGGAUGUUUUGUUAUCCUUGCAAAACUGUAUGAGUUUGCUUUUACAAUUUUACUGUUGUUCUGAUACAGUGACCCCUGUGAGAGCACUGACAUGGCUUUGUGAGCUAGUAAAUCAUAGUGUCUUCUGCCCCACAUCUGAUCUGUAACUAAAGCGAUAAGUCAUCAUCGGGAAUCGCUGAUCAUUGAAACUAAUAACCUCCAUGGCAAGCACAAGCAUGCAAAUUCACAUCCGCGUGCAGGAUAGACUGUUUCAGGAUAGAUGCGUUAAUUUUAGUGAAUGUGCUGCGAUGGAAAUCUGUAAAAGACGAAUCGCACAAAGCCAGGAGCAUAGCGGAGUGAGUCAUGUUUUCAUGUGCCUUUAAUUAUUAGCUGCUGUAGUUAGGAAACCACAGACCAGCAAGUUGCCUUGUUGUGGUGAGGAGGAUCCCUGUGCCAUCAGGGCUCCACAGAGAGCAGCUCAUGUGAGAGCAGUCGGCCUGAGUCAUGGGGCUGCCCAGAGCACAUGGGAAAGCUGAGACCCAGGACGUGUAGGUUCGAAUGAGCCAUGGUUAUUUUCUUCUCUUUUAAUCACGGACCACUUGCAAUUAGGCGAUGUGGAUGGUCUCUUUCUCAUGUGGCACUUGCCACUGUCCCACAUAGGCACAGAACGCAAGCAGCAGACAGAAGCUUUGUUGUUCUGAGGACUUUCCCGGUUUUGAAGUAUACCUAUGGGUUUGCAUGCUGUCUGGAAAAAUGCAAUCAGAAGACAAUUGCAUGAUGAAAGUUUGAAACUGAGCGAAAGGGCCACUGGGGAAUGCCUGUAGUUCUACACAUCCAUGAUGUCGGACGCUUGCACAUCUGAGGUGAAUAAUAGCCCAAGACAUUCUGUCGGCUGUGUGUGAAAAUGAGUAUCUACAGCAUGGAAAUAAGGGUGAAGAGCACUUUGGAUUACUUAUUUACAAUGCUUUUGUGAAGUAUAAGAUCUGACUCCUCCUGUAUUGCUUGUUGCUGAGUCACUUUGCAGCAGAACAGAACGUAGUACGUGUGGUACAGAAGUAUCUUUUUUUAAUUUUUUGGUAAGUCACUAGAUUAAAUGCUAAACUGCA